GAACGCUGGCGGUAUGCUUAACACAUGCAAGUCGAACGGAAACGAUGGAAGCUUGCUUCCAGGCGUCGAGUGGCGGACGGGUGAGUAACGCGUAGGAAUCUGCCAGAUAGUGGGGGAUAGCCCGGAGAAAUCCGGAUUAAUACCGCAUAAUCUCCAUGGAGUAAAGAGGGCCUCUAUUUAUAAGCUUUCGCUAUCUGAUGAGCCUGCGUAAGAUUAGCUAGUUGGUGGGGUAAUGGCCUACCAAGGCGACGAUCUUUAGCUGGUCUGAGAGGAUGAUCAGCCACACUGGGACUGAGACACGGCCCAGACUCCUACGGGAGGCUGCAGCAGGGAAUAUUGCGCAAUGAGCGAAAGCUUGACGCAGCGACACCGCGUGUGGGAUGACGGAUCUAGGUUUGUAAACCACUUUCAGGAGGGAAGAAAAUGACGGUACCUCCACAAGAAGCACCGGCUAACUCCGUGCCAGCAGCCGCGGUAAUACGGAGGGUGCAAGCGUUAAUCGGAAUUACUGGGCGUAAAGCGUGCGUAGGCGGUUGACUAAGUCAGAUGUGAAAGCCCCGGGCUUAACCUGGGAACUGCAUUUGAAACUGGUCAACUAGAGUAUGGUAGAGGAAAGUGGAAUUUCUGGUGUAGCGGUGAAAUGCGUAGAUAUCAGAAGGAACAUCGAUGGCGAAGGCAGCUUUCUGGACCAAUACUGACGCUGAGGUACGAAAGCGUGGGUAGCAAACAGGAUUAGAUACCCUGGUAGUCCACGCCGUAAACGAUGAUAACUAGCCGUUGGGA
rnacentral:rRNA from 1 species